GUACGUGCCUUGGAGUGGGGGAUAACCUGGGGAAACUCGGGCUAAUACCGCAUACGUUCUCAGCUUUGCGGAGCUGAGAGGAAAGCUGGCCAAUUCUUGAAAGCUGGCGCUCUUGGAGGGGUCCGCGUCCGAUUAGCUUGUUGGUGAGGUAAUGGCUCACCAAGGCUGCGAUCGGUAGCCGGCCUGAGAGGGUGAUCGGCCACACUGGGACUGAGACACGGCCCAGACUCCUACGGGAGGCAGCAGUGGGGAAUAUUGGACAAUGGGCGCAAGCCUGAUCCAGCAACGCCGCGUGGAGGACGAAGGCCUUCGGGUCGUAAACUCCUGUCAGUUGGGACGAAAAGUCGCAAGUCAAUAGCUUGCGAUCAUGACGGUACCAGCAGAGGAAGCCCCGGCUAACUCCGUG
rnacentral:rRNA from 1 species